rnacentral:rRNA from 1 species
CCUACGGGAGGCUGCAGUAGGGAAUAUUGGACAAUGGGUGGAAGCCUGAUCCAGCCAUGCCGCGUGCAGGAAGAAGGCCUUAUGGGUUGUAAACUGCUUUUGCCAGGGGAUAAAAUAUCCGUGCGCGGAGAAUUGAAGGUACCUGGUGAAUAAGCCACGGCUAACUACGUGCCAGCAGCCGCGGUAAUACGUAGGUGGCAAGCGUUGUCCGGAUUUAUUGGGUUUAAAGGGUGCGUAGGCGGCAUUUUAAGUCAGUGGUGAAAUACGGCAGCUCA